UUCCCCCUUCUUUCUCUUUUCGGGUACAACCAUCAACCGUACAACAUUUGCCUCCCUUUGAAAUUGCAUAGUCAAACACCCCCAAUUCAGCAAACUCCCAUGAUCAAUAGCAACAACGACCAACCAUGAUCAAACCAAACCCGUUUACGCCCAGAAAUUAUCUUCUCAUCCUUCUCUAAUUUCUUCAAUUAAUCCAGAAAAUCAAAUACAAUUCCCAGAAAACAAUCAAUCAAAACACAACCCCAAGAACAAACAGAACCAAUGGGAUCACUCGCAACCCAUUUCUCGACGUUUCUAUUCAUCUUCCCAGUUGGAUUUCGACGCUUACAUUCCUCUUUCUCCCUCUUCCUCAAAGACCCUUCUCUAUACCGCUCAAAACCCUGGUUUUUCACCGACCCUAAAUGGAAAAACUUCGACCUUUAUGCCCUUCUGAUUGCCCUACCCAUUGCUGCGUUUUCAGACCUUUUUCUUUUUCUCUCAUUUUCAGGCCACCCCUCUUACAAAUUCGCCUUCCUUCAAAAUGGGGCAGUCAUUUUCCUCUUCUGGGUACUUUUAAUUCUAAUUAUUUUGAGAGAAAAUCAUGACUUUUUGGUGAUUAAUGAUAGUUUUCUGUUUCUUUUAUCUGGGGUUUUCUUUCUGGUUGAGUAUUUCAUCAAUGGGAAUGGUUUUACUGGUGUUAGUAGCAAUGUGUAUGAUUUACUUGGUGGUUUAACCCUGGUUUGUGCCUUUUCUUGCUUGUAUUUGUCGAUUAGGCCUACCUCCUUUUUGGCCGACUUUUUGCUGUCUAGUGGGAUGGUUUUUAAAGGGACUUGGGUGUUACAAGCUGGGUUGAAUUUGUAUACUUCUACAUUUGGGUUGAAGGGUUGUCAGGAAGUGUCACUUUUGCCUAAUCAAAUGAAUGUUGAUGUUAAGUGUGAUCUUGAUGAGGAUAGCUUGAGGGGUAUUGCAUUGAUGAAGUUGUUGUUUGUGUGGCAUGCUAUUAUGGUUGUAAUUGCUUGUUUUGGGUUGUUUGGAUUGUUGUCAUGUAAGGAGAAUUUGAGAUGUGGCGAGGGCAGUGGACCGUUGUUGGCGCAAAUUGAGUCUCACAGUAUGCUAUUGCAGCAGCUUCCUGAAAUUGAACUGGAGUUGUAGAGGUUCCAGUUCGUGUAUCUACCCAUGAUGAGGAAGAAAUGAGGUUCUGUGGAUAGGGAUUCGAGGAGGGUUUCUUCUCUGGAGUGCAUGAAGAAAUUUCAAGAAUCUAGGUUUUUCUUAAGCUUUCAAGCUUCAAUCAAUUGCGGAAGACUGUGAGGAUCAGAGAGCUCUGGUACCAAGUUCCCUGCAUGAAUUCAUCAGAACUUGACAGAAAUAGAAGAAGAGAGAUAUAGAAUUCAAAGUUUAGAGAGAGAAAGAGAGAGAGGAAGAAAGGACUUGAUGAUGAAUGAAUCCUUACAGUAAGCAUAAGCUCGAAUUUAUACAACUCUAUACAUCAAAGUCAACUAUUGCCAACAGAAAAUGCACAGUCAACAUUGUAACAGAAAUCCUGUUAUUUUAACAGUUUUUGGCGCCAAAAACUGUUUGGCUGGUUUACAACAACUAAGUCUCUUAUCAUGAUGAGAUAUAGAUGGACUAGAAGGAAAAGCCUUUAUAAAGACAAAUGAUUGAGGGAAUGAGUUUAGCCUAGCCUUCUCAAAGGAUUAAUUAUGUCAAACAGGAGAAGGAAAGUCAUGACUUGAGUGCUCCUUCCUUAUUUUGAUGCGAAUUAAUUAUGCUGAGAGUCUAAGACAAGAUGUCUUUCUGGAAGCUGAACUGAAGAGCAUUGACAAUAUCAAACUUUGUUGAAGUGCUGAGAGAUUGUCUGCAUAAAAUGUGAGGUUGGCAAGCAGUGACAGAGGAAAUGGUUAUGUAAAGUUGCAACACUUUCCUUCAAAUAGAGAGAAGUGUUCCUCACACUUCUAGAACAAUUUGGUAGAGGAGAGACUCAGGGAACUCUGAAUACAAGAUUAUAGCAUCUCCUAUUUCCAUCUGACACGAAAUCCAGAGUGGAAUUUGGGGGUAGAAAACCAUUGGGAGCGAAGGCCAAAGUUACGGUUCUUAAUCUGAUGAUGGAUUCUCUUGAUCUUCUUGUUCAAUUCACUGAAUCCGUGAAUUCUAAUCCGGUAUUUCAUUCUCUUUAUCUUCCUCUUGAAAUCACCAUAAUGUUUUCUGAAUCUUGAAGAGCUAACAGGCUUUAUUUUCCACCCGCAUCCUGUAUUUCAGUAGUUGCAUAAUGCAUAACUUGUUUUUUUCUUGUGAACUUGUGGUAUCAAAUUUUUACAGCUUGUCCCAUAUAAAAAAUAUGGACAUGACAUAAAAUGCUGUGUUUGGAGUCUUUUGGUUUGAAGUGAGCUACGGACUACUUUAUACUGUUAUUUUAAUUUUCCUUAUGUAUAAACUAUAGACUAAUCAUAACAUGAAGUUUUCAGAAUUUGACUCAACCCAAAACAUACCUCGAAUUUUCUGUUCAUGGUCAUCUUCAUCUAGGUCAGGUUUAUGCAAGAUCUGCAACAGAUGAUGACAAAAGAAAUCAUCUAUUUGUCAAUAAAACUGCAUAAACUUUGCUUCAUACUCAAUUUAAAAAUAAAAUAAAAAUUCCUUCAAAUUGGACAAGCUAAAGAGAUUCUGAAAGAAGUAAGAUAUGAUUGUAGUGUUUCUACCUUGACCAAAUCUUCCAACCUCCCCCUCAUCUUUCUUUGAAUGAAUCCCUUGGUGCUCUGCAUUAAUCCUUUCGUUAUAAUCAAGAUUUGAAAUUUACCAUUGUCUAAAUCAGUAGGAGGCUAGGAGCUACUAGAAGUUGUACCUUUAUAUAAGAUUUAACAUAGUUAUAGAAGUUCAGCAGAUUCCACACAGUUUUAUCUAGUCUUUUAUCAUCAACAUGGCGCGAAAAUAUGUC